ACGAAGGAGUCAUCGCCAUUAGCAUAAUCGGAAUGUCGUUGGAACCGUUGCAAGACGUUUGAACGGUCUCCGCGCUCGCUCGUCCAUUUGUGAACAAAGGAGGCCGUGAUUUUGCGUCGUAUGGGCGGCUGCAGUGUUGGGUCCCGUCAGGCCAUGAAAGAAGGAAGGAGGAUAUGAUUUUGCGUCGUAAUGGGUUUUUGUUGUUUGUUCGGAGCAGCGGCUGCAGUGUUGCGUCCCGUCAGGCUCUACUUUGUUGAACACUAAGCUGGACACAUAUCUCUCCAGCACUUCAGAGACGUCGCUGGCGCCGAAAUUCUAGCUGUUUCACCGUGGGUCGCCAGAAGAACAGCAGAUCAUUGACUGUCAAUUGUGCGACGCGACACUAUGUGGCACGAAGGAUGUGUACGUGUGAAAUACGUAACUACUGUGUGCGCGGGAUGUUUUGUAUGAUUGUGUCGACACUGGAUACCACUUUCAAGGUAUGCAUUUUCGGAAUAAAGUAGAUACAUAUAUAAUUUUGCAGUACUUCAUUUCGUGUAUUUUAUGCGUGUUGCGAGUAAGUGACCAUAUGCACUCUUAAAAAUGAACUUCACCGCAUAGCAUGCUCCUAGCCGACCAUCAACUCGAAUGAUAUCGCUAUGUGACCUGAUUUGUUCAAAACGGUAGGCGCACGGCUUUUUUGUGAUACUUACGCUGUUCAUAAUUGUCACAAAAAUGGCGUACACCUCCCGUUUUCAGGCAGAUAACGAUAUUCGAGAUGAUGAUUG